UUUAACUGGUGGAGAUGCACAAGGUAAUGUAUCAAUUUCACUUGAAGCUUACUUGUAGUUUCAGGCUUGGUCAAGCGUGAUACAAACCAUGUAGCAGAAGUCCCCCAAAUCGCCGAGCUAGGGGAUCUGCUAAAAGAGGUGACAGACAAGGUAAGCAAUCAGAGCUCCAAGUAAUCAGUCCCAGAUCAGAAGUUUGAUUU
rnacentral:lncRNA from 1 species